rnacentral:misc_RNA from 1 species
AAGUCGUAACAAGGUCUCCGUAGAAAUUGAGGUAUUGGUUUGCCUGCGGAGACCCCCGCCGACGUAACUAAAUGAUAGCAGCCUUACUUAUAAGCAACACCUCCACUGUGCUGAGACUCAGGUCAUACUGUAAUCAGCAGCUCAGAGAAAUCUGAGUCCACAGGUCAAAUGGAGGCGGCCUCUUAAGGGAGGUUAAGAUAUGAUCGAACUCUACUAUAGUUAGUGCUUAGAUGUUUGUGGAACCUGCGGAGGGAUCAUUACAGAGUUCCUGCCCUUCGGGGUAGAUCUCCCACCCUAUGUUUACAUACCUUUGUUGCUUUGGCAGGCCCGUUCAGCCUUGUGCUGAACCACCGGCUCCGGCUGGUCUGUGCCUGCCAGAGGACCCUAAACUCUGAUUGUUAGUGAUGUCUGAGUACUAUAUAAUAGUUAAAA